AACGAACGCUGGCGGCGUGCCUAACACAUGCAAGUCGAACGAGAAAGGGGCUUCGGCUCCGAGUAAAGUGGCGCACGGGUGAGUAACACGUGGGUAACCUGCCUCUAAGAUUGGGAUAACUCGUCGAAAGAUGAGCUAAUACCGGAUAAGACCACAGUUCCCGCGGGAACAGGGGUCAAAGGUAGCCUCUGCUUGUAAGCUAUCACUUAGAGAUGGGCCUGCGCACCAUUAGCUAGUUGGUAGGGUAACGGCCUACCAAGGCAAAGAUGGUUAGCUGGUCUGAGAGGAUGAACAGCCACACGGGAACUGAGACACGGUCCAGACUCCUACGGGAGGCAGCAGUGGGGAAUAUUGCGCAAUGGGCGAAAGCUUGACGCAGCAACGCCGCGUGAGUGAUGAAGGCCUUCGGGUCGUAAAGCUCUGUCGGGAGGAACGUAUGCUCCCAAGGUUAACAGCCUCGGGAGGUGACGGUACCUUCAAAGGAAGCACCGGCUAACUCUGUGCCAGCCGCCGCGGUAACAC
rnacentral:rRNA from 1 species